AAACUUUCAACAACGGAUCUUUUGGUUCCGGCAUCGAUGAAGAACGCAGCGAAAUGCGAUAAGUAAUGUGAAUUGCAGAAUUCCGUGAAUCAUCGAAUCUUUGAACGCACAUUGCGCCCCCCGGCAUUCCGGGGGGCAUGCCUGUCCGAGCGUCAUUG
rnacentral:rRNA from 1 species